rnacentral:lncRNA from 1 species
CUGAAUCUGUAUCUUCAGCUGAUGAUCUUGAAAACAAGGAUCAUGAAGAUGAACAGUCUCUAGAACAAGAACUGGUUUCUGAAAAAGAUCAAGAACAUGAACAUCCAGAGUUGAUUUCUGAAAGCCAUGAAAGACCUUACUUUGUACCUGAACAUGUUGCUUCAUUAGCCUAUGAAAGACAAUUAAGUGGAGUCAGUGACUCCAAGUUGAGCUCUAUACCUGAUACAGAAUCGGUAUCUUCAGCUAGUGAUCUUGAAAAUAAGGAUCAUAUAGAAGAUGACCACCAUUCUCUAGAACACGAACUGGUUUCUGAAAAAGAUCAAGAACAUGAACAUGAAGAGUUGAUUUCUGAAAGCCAUGAAAGACCUUACUUUGUACCUGAACAUGUUGAUUCGGUGGCUUUUGAAAGACAAUCAAGUGAAGUUGGUGACUCCAAGUUGAGCUCUACAUCUGAUACAGAAUCUGUUUCUUCAGCUGAUGAUCUUGAAAAUAAGGACCAUAUUGACCUUUCUCAAGAACCA